CGUGACGACGAGGCACUACGGUGCUGAAGCAACAAAUGCCCUGCUUCCAGGAAAAGCCUCUAAGCAUCAGGUAACAUCAAAUCGUACCCCAAACCGACACAGGUGGUCAGGUAGAGAAUACCAAGGCGCUUGAGAGAACUCGGGUGAAGGAACUAGGCAAAAUGGUGCCGUAACUUCGGGAGAAGGCACGCUGACACGUAGGUGAAGUGAUUUACUCAUGGAGCUGAAGUCAGUCGAAGAUACCAGCUGGCUGCAACUGUUUAUUAAAAACACAGCACUGUGCAAACACGAAAGUGGACGUAUACGGUGUGACGCCUGCCCGGUGCCGGAAGGUUAAUUGAUGGGGUCAGCGCAAGCGAAGCUCCUGAUCGAAGCCCCGGUAAACGGCGGCCGUAACUAUAACGGUCCUAAGGUAGCGAAAUUCCUUGUCGGGUAAGUUCCGACCUGCACGAAUGGCGUAAUGAUGGCCAGGCUGUCUCCACCCGAGACUCAGUGAAAUUGAACUCGCUGUGAAGAUGCAGUGUACCCGCGGCAAGACGGAAAGACCCCGUGAACCUUUACUAUAGCUUGACACUGAACAUUGAGCCUUGAUGUGUAGGAUAGGUGGGAGGCUUUGAAGUGUGGACGCCAGUCUGCAUGGAGCCGACCUUGAAAUACCACCCUUUAAUGUUUGAUGUUCUAACGUGGACCCGUUACCCGGGUUGCGGACAGUGUCUGGUGGGUAGUUUGACUGGGGCGGUCUCCUCCUAAAGAGUAACGGAGGAGCACGAAGGUUGGCUAAUCCUGGUCGGACAUCAGGAGGUUAGUGCAAUGGCAUAAGCCAGCUUGACUGCGAGCGUGACGGCGCGAGCAGGUGCGAAAGCAGGUCAUAGUGAUCCGGUGGUUCUGAAUGGAAGGGCCAUCGCUCAACGGAUAAAAGGUACUCCGGGGAUAACAGGCUGAUACCGCCCAAGAGUUCAUAUCGACGGCGGUGUUUGGCACCUCGAUGUCGGCUCAUCACAUCCUGGGGCUGAAGUAGGUCCCAAGGGUAUGGCUGUUCGCCAUUUAAAGUGGUACGCGAGCUGGGUUUAGAACGUCGUGAGACAGUUCGGUCCCUAUCUGCCGUGGGCGCUGGAGAACUGAGGGGGGCUGCUCCUAGUACGAGAGGACCGGAGUGGACGCAUCACUGGUGUUCGGGUUGUCAUGCCAAUGGCACUGCCCGGUAGCUAAAUGCGGAAGAGAUAAGUGCUGAAAGCAUCUAAGCACGAAACUUGCCCCGAGAUGAGUUCUCCCUGAGACUUAGAGUCUCCUGAAGGAACGUUGAAGACGACGACGUUGAUAGGCCGGGUGUGUAAGCGCAGCGAUGCGUU
rnacentral:rRNA from 1 species